rnacentral:rRNA from 1 species
GUGGGGAAUAUUGGACAAUGGGCGCAAGCCUGAUCCAGCCAUGCCGCGUGAGUGAUGAAGGCCUUAGGGUUGUAAAGCUCUUUCGUCAGGGAAGAUAAUGACGGUACCUGAAGAAGAAGCCCCGGCUAACUUCGUGCCAGCAGCCGCGGUAAUACGAAGGGGGCUAGCGUUGCUCGGAAUCACUGGGCGUAAAGCGCACGUAGGCGGCUUUCUAAGUCAGGGGUGAAAUCCUGGAGCUCAACUCCAGCACUGCCUUUGAUACUGGAGAGCUUGAGUUCGGGAGAGGUGAGUGGAACUGCGAGUGUAGAGGUGAAAUUCGUAGAUAUUCGCAAGAACACCAGUGGCGAAGGCGGCUCACUGGCCCGAUACUGACGCUGAGGUGCGAAAGCGUGGGGAGCAAACAGGAUUAGAAACCCCAGUAGUCC